AUCCAGCUAACGAGUCCCAAAUAGGACGGGACACACGUCUUGGAU
rnacentral:hammerhead_ribozyme from 1 species